UACGGAGGGUGCGAGCGUUGUCCGGAAUCACUGGGCGUAAAGGGCGCGUAGGCGGCCUGAUAGGUCGGGGGUGAAAUCUUGCGGCUCAACCGCAAGGCUGCCUUCUAAACUGUCAGGCUUGAGCACAGUAGAGGCAGGUGGAAUUCCCGGUGUAGCGGUGGAAUGCGUAGAGAUCGGGAAGAACAUCAGUGGCGAAGGCGGCCUGCUGGGCUGUUGCUGACGCUGAGGAACGAAAGCCAGGGGAGCGAACGGG
rnacentral:rRNA from 1 species